rnacentral:lncRNA from 1 species
CAUAAGUAGAAGGUUGGGAUAUAUUUUUUGGGUUAUUGGGCAAACAGUCUAGGAAUAAAGGGCCAAAAAGGGGCCACAAACAAGCAUUUUGUAGUUUCAAGACAAUAAAUUGGAGUUAUCUUUCUUUGUCCAGAAUGGUUGUUGAAUCACCUAAAACCAAUGCUUUAUGAAAUCUUUGAAAAUUGGAGUUAUCUUUCUUUGUCCAGAAUAGUAGUUGAAUCAACUUAAAUCAAUGCUAUAUACAAUAUACAAUGCAAUAUUCACUUUACUACCAACUGAUAAAUUAAAGCAGUCUUUACCAUUCAGUGAUUA